rnacentral:rRNA from 1 species
AGAACGAACGCUGGCGGCAUGCCUAACACAUGCAAGUCGAACGAGAUCCUUCGGGGUCUAGUGGCGCACGGGUGCGUAACGCGUGGGAAUCUGCCCUUAGGUACGGAAUAACUCAGGGAAACUUGUGCUAAUACCGUAUGAUGUCUUCGGACCAAAGAUUUAUCGCCUAGGGAUGAGCCCGCGUAGGAUUAGCUAGUUGGUGGGGUAAAGGCCUACCAAGGCUACGAUCCUUAGCUGGUCUGAGAGGAUGAUCAGCCACACUGGGACUGAGACACGGCCCAGACUCCUACGGGAGGCAGCAGUGGGGAAUAUUGGACAAUGGGCGAAAGCCUGAUCCAGCAAUGCCGCGUGAGUGAAGAAGGCCUUCGGGUUGUAAAGCUCUUUUACCCGGGAAGAUAAUGACUGUACCGGGAGAAUAAGCCCCGGCUAACUCCGUGCCAGCAGCCGC